rnacentral:rRNA from 1 species
UACGGGGGGGGCAAGCGUUGUUCGGAAUUACUGGGCGUAAAGGGCUCGUAGGUGGCCAACUAAGUCAGACGUGAAAUCCCUCAGCUUAACUGGGGAACUGCGUCUGAUACUGGAUGGCUUGAGUUUGGGAGAGGGAUGCGGAAUUCCAGGUGUAGCGGUGAAAUUCGUAGAUAUCGGGAGGAACACCAGUGGCGAAGGCGGCGAUCUGGGCAGUUACUGACGCUGAGGUGCGAAAGCGUGGGGAGCAAACAGG